CCUACGGGAGGCAGCAGUGAGGAAUAUUGGUCAAUGGACGAGGGUCUGAACCAGCCAAGUAGCGUGAAGGAUGACUGCCCUAUGGGUUGUAAACUUCUUUUAUAAAGGAAUAAAACGAGGCACGUGUGCCUUUUUGCAUGUACUUUAUGAAUAAGGAUCGGCUAACUCCGUGCCAGCAGCCGCGGUAAUACGGAGGAUCCGAGCGUUAUCCGGCUUUAUUGGGUUUAAAGGGAGCGUAGAUGGGUUGUUAAGUCAGUUGUGAAAGUUUGCGGCUCAACCGUAAAAUUGCAAUUGAUACUGGCAGUCGUGAGUACAGUUGAGGUAGGCGGAAUUCGUGGUGUAGCGGUGAAAUGCUUAGAUAUCACGAAGAACCCCGAUUGCGAAGGCAGCUUACUAAACUGUGACUGACAUUGAUGCUCGAAAGUGUGGGUAUCAAACAGGAUUAGAUACCCCUGUAGUC
rnacentral:rRNA from 1 species